rnacentral:rRNA from 1 species
ACUAUGCAAUUUCUUCUAGCACCUGCGCCGUUGGAUGGAUGGUGUUUACGGAAGAAUAAAGGUCUUCCCGCAGCACUUCACGCCCGAGAAAGAGCCCAUGGACGGUGCUGAUGGUCUGUCCACAAGUAAGAGCAACAUGGAUCCGUCACCAAGUCCAUGUAGGCAUUCUUGGACCCCGAAACGAGUCAAGGGAGUUUAUCUCUUCUGCAACUGUUGUCUAUUCCUUGCAUUAGGUGGUCUUCCAGCAACAAGGAUGAUGACAAGACCGAAUUGACAAGAGCUGAAGUAGAAUCAUUACGAAGCGAAAUUGCCGAUGCCGAUGAAAGGGUGUCCUAGCUAAAAGCCCAGUUAGAAAAUAUUGACGAAGCCUUGAGAUAUGCACUCCUUUCCGGGUACCUCCAUAUCAGAAGUAGAUGGACUCAACUUCCUGGGGAGCCACCUAUCAUAGACGACGCCGAUGUCGAUGACUGGCUUCCUCGCUUUGUUGUCCUACAAGGACAGUGUUUAUACUACUAUCUGAAGUGUACUGGCUACUGCCGCUGAUAAUGACGAUGACAACAAUGUUGACCUUUUUGGAACCAAAGAAGAGAAGAAGGCAGUUGGAGAGCAUGCUGCCAAAGUGAAGGGUUCUUGCAAGAAGAAAGAAU